UACGAGGGGGGCGAGCGUUGUUCGGAAUUACUGGGCGUAAAGGGCUCGUAGGCGGCCAACUAAGUCAGACGUGAAAUCCCCAGGCUCAACCUGGGAACUGCGUCUGAUACUGGAUGGCUUGAAUUCGGGAGAGGGAUGCAGAAUUCCAGGUGUAGCGGUGAAAUGCGUAGAUAUCUGGAGGAAUACCGGUGGCGAAGGCGGCAUCCUGGACCGACAUUGACGCUGAUGAGCGAAAGCUAGGGGAGCAAACGGG
rnacentral:rRNA from 1 species